rnacentral:rRNA from 1 species
AUGCUGAUACAGUACCAGAUACGCAUCUUCGUGCAGCGUUCGGCCUCUGUUUCGCCCUCCCCUCUUCGCAGCUGUCACCGGCGGCUACUCUCUCCCCGCAUGGCGUCGCCUCCUCCGCCGGCUCCCGCCGCCGCGGCCGCCCACAGCGUGUUCGUCUACGGCACCCUGAUGGCGGAGGAGGUCGUGCGCGUCCUCCUCGGCCGCGUCCCGCCGUCCUCCCCCGCGCUCCUCCCCAACCACCAGAGGCUCAGCAUCAGGGGCCGCGUCUACCCGGCGAUCCUGCCCGUCGACGGCAGCAAAGUCCCCGGGAAGGUUUGGCAGGGGAUCACUGACAGGGAGCUCGAUGUGCUGGACAUCUUUGAGGAUGAGGAGUAUGUCAGGGAAACUGUUGGCAUCUCGCUGGCCGAUUCGGCGGAUAUGAUCGCCUAUGCAUAUAUAUGGGGGAAUGUGGAUGAUCCUGACCUCUAUGGGGAAUGGGAUUUUGAUGAAUGGAAGAAAGUGCAUCUGAAGGACUAUAUUACAAUGACACAAGAUUUCAGGGAGGAACUGGAACAGCUUGAAUCUGAGACACAUGAUUGA